rnacentral:tRNA from 2 species
GCGAAAGUAGUUCAGCGGUAGAACACCACCUUGCCAAGGUGGGGGUCGCGGGUUCGAAUCCCGUCUUUCGCU